UACGAAGGGGGCUAGCGUUGUUCGGAUUCAUUGGGCGUAAAGAGCUCGUAGGCGGUUCGGUAAGUCGGGUGUGAAAACUCUGGGCUCAACCCAGAGCCGCCACCUGAUACUGCUGUGACUAGAGUGCGGUAGGGGAGCGGGGAAUUCCUGGUGUAGCGGUGAAAUGCGCAGAUAUCAGGAGGAACACCGAUGGCGAAGGCAGGUCUCUGGGCUGACACUGACGCUCAUGCACGAAAGCGUGGGGAGCAAACAGG
rnacentral:rRNA from 1 species